UACGGCGGGUGCGAGCGUUGUCCGGAAUCACUGGGCGUAAAGGGCGCGUAGGCGGCUUUUCAAGCGUGCGGUGAAAGCUCGGGGCUUAACUCCGAGUCUGCCGUGCGAACUGGGAGGCUUGAGUCUGGUAGAGGUCGAUGGAAUUCCGGGUGUAGCGGUGGAAUGCGUAGAGAUCCGGAAGAACACCGGUGGCGAAGGCGGUCGACUGGGCCAGUACUGACGCUGAGGCGCGACAGCGUGGGGAGCAAACAGG
rnacentral:rRNA from 1 species